rnacentral:rRNA from 1 species
UAGGGAAUCUUCCGCAAUGGACGCAAGUCUGACGGAGCAACGCCGCGUGAGUGAAGAAGGAUUUCGGUUCGUAAAACUCUGUUGUUAGAGAAGAACAGCGCAUAGAGUAACUGUUAUGCGUGUGACGGUAUCUAACCAGAAAGCCACGGCUAACUACGUGCCAGCAGCCGCGGUAAUACGUAGGUGGCAAGCGUUGUCCGGAUUUAUUGGGCGUAAAGCGAGCGCAGGCGGUCAAUUAAGUCUGAUGUGAAAGCCCCCGGCUCAACCGGGGAGGGUCAUUGGAAACUGGUUGACUUGAGUGCAGAAGAGGAGAGUGGAAUUCCAUGUGUAGCGGUGAAAUGCGUAGAUAUAUGGAGGAACACCAGUGGCGAGGGCGACUCUCUGGUCUGUAACUGACGCUGAGGCUCGAAAGCGUGGGUAGCAAACAGG